GUAUUUUGAUCCUUCAUUGGACCAAAAAGUUGUGCCCUGAACACAGGCGAGCGUGCUGCAAGAACCACCUUGUGAGCAGCAUAUACUUCCCCAUCAACUUCAAAAUUUACAUCAGUUCCCCUUCCACUUUCUAAAAUCCUUCCAAAAUGAUGACCGAUAUCAGAGGGUGGCACUCCAAUGGCAUAGGUCUUUGGUCCCUCAGUCUGGGAUUUAACUACACCAACACAACAGCGAAUUACCAAGGUAUCAUCUUUGAGAUAAUCUGAUGUCUCUAGUUGAGUUCUUUUGAAAAAUCGUUUAUAGCCCCACAUACUGCCGCGAUAUUUCAGUGUGUAAGGCCCACUCUCAAGAGCUCUCCCGAAAUGGCUAUGAACCUUAUGGUUUUCUUUUCCACUCUGAUCCAUCAGCGAGAGCUCAAACAAUGCCCUCACGUCGGUGCCUUCGCUUGCGAGGGCUAUAAAUAAGGACACAUAGGCAGCGUUAUCUUCAGGGCUCUUUCCAUCAGGAUAAAAGUAGAUUGCCCACGCGUACCCACCAACAAUGAACGUAUCCGAUGCUGUGUACUUUCCAAUUCCGAUGCCCUUCGAUAAAGAGUAGCCGCCGAUUUUGAACUCGUGAGAUCCAUUUAUUGUCUCAGUGCGAGAGGUAGAAGCGGUAAGGUCUCCAGUGCUAGCUCUGAUUGUGCCCAUCAACAAAAGGCAAAUGGGUAAUAUAGAUUUUGAUAAUCUGAGAUUUCUUGAAAGGAGAAUUAAACUGGGUAUUAUCGAAUUGUGGGUUUAGUACACAAUUAGGGUUUCUGAGAGGUGGUGUAUCCGGAAAUUAGGGCGAUAAAGAGUCGAAAUUGGAGAUGGGAAAAGGGGGAGAGGAUAGAUUGGAUCUGGUAUUGAGCAGAGAAAGGAGGAUAAAGGGAAGGGGUUUGGUGGCGAAGGUGACUUUUGAUUGGGAAAUGCUAGAGAGCUUUAGAAUGAUACACGUUAUGAAUUUACAAGGAUGAGAAGCCAAAACCCAAAAAGCAGCCAUCUUUGGUUUUGUUUGUUUAUUUAUAUUAAUUAUUGUCAGAGCCGUGAGCCGACUUACGUGUUAUGGUAUUGGUAAGAAAAAGGUACGUUUUGAGGCCCUGUAAGUUCUGCCCAAAGCAUCAGAUUAACCAAAAAAAAAAAGAAAAGGUGUUGAAGAAGCUGCAUUUUUUAUUGCUUUCCUUAAAAAAAAAAAA
rnacentral:misc_RNA from 1 species